rnacentral:lncRNA from 1 species
AUGCCCACAGCCGCUCCAAACUCAUUACAUGUCCCCUGCCCGGUCACCGCCCAUGGGUCUCCAGCCUCCAGAUGAACCCACUCCUCUUCCCCGGGCCCCCAAGGUGCCCACUGUACCCCCCUGCCCGGUUGGGUCCGCUCUGCCACCUUCCCCAAGGGACGAUCUCGCACUUUCCAGGGACUCCAUCCAGUGCGUCCUCGCACCUCGAGUGCCCGCGCCGCCGCCUCCCAGGAUUCCCUCCCAGCCAAUGUCCCUCUGACGGUUUUCGCGCCCCUCCUUGACCCUGCUAAACUCAGCUGCCAGGGACCAUCCCCGAGUGAAGGCAGGUGCUCGCGGGGUGCCGGUCCCUGGAGCGGGUGCUGUCCAGGGUGCACGAGGCGCGUCGCCGGUGCGGUGCCCUAGUGGGCCAGAGCAAACCCAGGGCUCCGGAGCGGGGGCGUUUUCGCUAAUCGCCGAACCGCUCCCCUCCGGGUUCCCGCGGAAGGCCAGGGAAGAGCACUGGCCAGAUUGUUGUGGACUCGGGUUCCGGGGCAACGCGCAACGCGGGUCUGGACGCCAGGGAUGGGGUUGAGGCGCUCCAGAGAAGACGCCUCCGAACUCAAGUUCUUCUUCCUCACCAUGGAAGCAAUAUGCAGAAAAAGACCUGAUGCUGAACAUGCUUUGGCCGACUGGGUGCUGCUGAUUUGCAGAUCUCAAUAUGUAUAUCUAUGCUACCAGAGGUUCCACUCAAAGAAAAUGAGCAGUAUUUGCCUCCCCAUUGGAGGUUACAGAGCUUCAGCAAAACCACCAACUUUCUUGAGCUUUGUUCUUUUUAAUUUGCUUUGCAUUGAGGCUAGGGAACUUAAACUGAACUAAGGAUUACUCCCUUUUGUGUUCAUUCAGUAGGUACACAUCUGGUGGUGACUACAUGUGAGAAACUGCUGUGGCAUGUACAAAGGGGAGCUAAAUUAAGAAAAAACAUUAAAAAUGGUCUUUGAACCUUAACACUCACUUUCUAGGACAAAUCUCAGAUACCUACAGUCAGCUCACCUAAGCAAAUGAUGAUAAGUGAAUUUUUGUAGGAGUUCAUGUGAGAAGAACAAGAAGAGAUUGCUUUUUAGAGUACUCAGAUUUCUUAAAAGGGCUUCCAUUUUCCCUAGAAUUACAAGUAUGAUUGAGACAUUACAGAGAUAGUAGGAAAAUGGAAAGGGAGUGACAGGAGCCAAGUUGGGGUAAAAUGUGUGACACUGUCACAAAAUUGGGAGCCACAGAUUCUGUUUUGAUGAAAGAGUUAUAUAUCAGGAACUCACUAGGAAGAACUUCCCACGAGAAUGCAGUUUUCCUAGUUCUAGCAGCCAAUGCAGUAGAUUAAGUGAGAAACAGAGAGAGAGAGAGAGAGAGAGACAGCCCACAAUCAGCUGUCCACCAGCGCACACCAGGACAGCCAACAGACUUCCACUGGGAAAGCCAUUACAUGUAGGGUUCUGACACUGGAGGGUGAAUGUUCUGUCUAGAUGUCCCCCAAAACCUCAUGCACCCACAGGUGGGGCUUCUGGGAGGUGACUGAAUCAUGGUUAUGUGACACUCCUGGAUUAGUCCACUGAUGGAAUUAUAAACCCUGGUAGGAAGAGGUAGGUCACUGUGGACGUGGCCUGGAAGGACAUAUAUCCUUCUUCUCUUGAUCCCUCACUGCUUCUUGCCUGCCAUGCCAUGAACUGAUUCUCCUCUGCCAUGCCGCCCUGCAUUGGAGCCAGCCACCUAUGAAAUGAAACCUCUACAAUUUGAGCCAAAUUAAAUCUUUCCUCCUUUAACUUGUGCAUGUCAGGUAUUUUGUUCCAGCAAUGACACAGUGACUAAAAGAGUGAACAAUAUAAGAGUGGUUUAGAAGCCUUGUUUUGACUUUGUAAAGUCAAUGUAUUAAACUUUUCAGCAGUAACAAACAAAUGUGUGCUAAUGUAAACUCAUAUACUUACAUAUAACAAACAAUGAUCUGGUGUGUGCUAUUCCUUAUACAAGUGUUCCUAUUUCUUAUCACCAUUUUCUCUCUAGCAAACCACAAAGGUAGCACUUCACACAACAGCAAGUAGAUCUUGGGUGUAACGGUCCAUGUGCUUUCUCCACCUUCCUUACAGGACUUCUCAUGUUGCUGAAGAGGAGACAGCAUGGCUCUUCAUCCUCCCUUCACUCUCAGAUGCUGAUGCCACUCUUUAUUUCAGAGCAAAGUAAAAGAGUUGGAAGAUUUUUUUUAAAACCUACUCACUAAACUGGAAAUGUCACUACAUCAGAAACGUUAAUUUAAAAACUAAAAAAAUUCUUCCUAAUUCACAGUAAACCUAAUAUUUAGAAAUAAAAGGCAUUAAAGUAACCCAUAGUACUUUAUCUUACAGAAUCAGGUAAACAGAAUAAAAUCUAACAUGAGAUUAUAU